rnacentral:rRNA from 1 species
CCUACGUGAGGCAGCAGUGGGGAAUAUUGGGCAAUGGACGCAAGUCUGACCCAGCAACACCGCGUGAAGGAAGAAGGCUUUCGGGUUGUAAACUUCUUUUAAGGGGGAAGAGCAGAAGACGGUACCCCUUGAAUAAGCGACGGCUAACUACGUGCCAGCAGCCGCGGUAAUACGUAGGUGGCAGGCGUGUUCCGGAUUUACUGGGUGUAAAGGGCGUGCAGGCGUGGAGACAAGGCAGAUGUGAAAUCCACGGGCUCAACCCGUGAACUGCAUUUGAAACUGUUUCCCUUGAGUGUCGGAGAGGUAUUCGGAAUUCCUUGUGUAGCGGUGAAAUGCGUAGAUAUAAGGAAGAACACCAGUGGCGAAGGCGGAUUACUGGCCGAUAACUGACGGUGAGGCGCGAAAGCGUGGGGAGCAAACAGGAUUAGAUACCCGGGUAGUC